rnacentral:rRNA from 1 species
CCUACGGGUGGCAGCAGUCGAGAAUCAUUCACAAUGGGGGAAACCCUGAUGGUGCGACGCCGCGUGGGGGAAUGAAGGUCUUCGGAUUGUAAACCUCUGUCAUGUGGGAGCAAAUUAAAAAGAUAGUACCACAAGAGGAAGAGACGGCUAACUCGGUGCCAGCAGCCGCGGUAAUACAGAGGUCUCAAGCGUUGUUCGGAAUCACUGGGCGUAAAGCGUGCGUAGGCUGUUUCGUAAGUCGUGUGUGAAAGGCGCGGGCUCAACCCGCGGACGGCACAUGAUACUGCGAGACUAGAGUAGUGGAGGGGGAACCGGAAUUCUCGGUGUAGCAGUGAAAUGCGUAGAUAUCGAGAAGAACACUCGUGGCGAAGGCAGGUUCCUGGACAUUAACUGACGCUGAGGCACGAAGGCCAGGGGAGCGAAAGGGAUUAGAUACCCCAGUAGUC